AACGUAGGAGGCUAGCGUUAUCCGGAUUUAUUGGGCGUAAAGCGUGUGCAGGCGGUUUAGCAAGUUGGAUGUGAAAGCUCCUGGCUUAACUGGGAGAGGUCGUUCAAAACUGCUAGACUAGAGAAUGGGAGAGGGAGGUGGAAUUCCGGGUGUAGUGGUGAAAUGCGUAGAUAUCCGGAGGAACACCAGUGGCGAAAGCGGCCUCCUAGACCAUUUCUGACGCUAAGACACGAAAGCUAGGGUAGCAAAC
rnacentral:rRNA from 1 species